rnacentral:rRNA from 1 species
CACGCCCUAAACCGAAUGCGCGUUAGGUGUAUCGGUGACCACGAGUCACCGAGGUGCCGAAGGGGAACCGGUGAAACGUAGCCGCCUGGGAAGUACGGUCGCAAGGCUGAAACUUAAAGGAAUUGGCGGGGGAGGCACCACAACGGGUGGAGCCUGCGGGUUUAAUUUGGACUCAACGCCGGGAAGCUCACCGGAUAAGACAGCGGAAUGAUUGCCGGGCUGAAGACCCUGCAUGACCAGCUGAGAGGAGGUGCAUGGCGUAGUCGUGU